UACCAUGGCAGUAACGGGUAACGAAGAAUUAGGGUUCGAUUUCGGAGAGGGAGCAUGAGAAACGGCUACCACAUCUAAGGAAGGCAGCAGGCGCGUAAAUUACCCAAUCCUGACUCAGGGAGGUAGUGACAAGAAAUAGCAAACCGGGAACCUCAUGGUUUCACGGUAAUGCAAUGACAACAAUUUAAAACCCUUAGCGAGAAUCAAGUGGAGGACAAGUCUGGUGCCAGCACCCGCGGUAAUUCCAGCUCCACUAGCGUAUAUUAAAGUUGUUGCAGUUAAAAAGCUCGUAGUUGAACCUCUGUCUGGGGCUAGUUUUGGCUUUGGUCAGGCUAGUUCUAGGCAUCCGCCUACAAGACUUAGAGGGCAUUCAGUUGUUCACUAGGAGGAGUAGGCAUUUUACUUUGAAAAAAUUAGAGUGUUUAAGGCAGGCAAUCGCCCGCAUAUAUUAGCAUGGAAUAAUAGAAUAGGACACUUUUCCAUUUCGUUGGUUAUUGGAAUCGUGUAAUGAUUAAUAGGGACAGUUGUGGGCAUUUGUAUUUAAUUGUCAGAGGUGAAAUUCUUGGAUUUAUUAAAGACAAACUAACGCGAAAGCAUUUGCCAAGGAUGUUUUCAUUAAUCAAGAACGAAAGUUAGAGGAUCAAAGACGAUCAGAUACCGUCCUAGUCUUAACUAUAAACUAUUCCGACUCAAUGUUUGACUGGCUUAUAUAACCAGUUGAGCGUUGUAUGAGAAAUCAAAGUCUUUAGGUUCUGGGGGGAGUAUGGUUGCAAAGCUGAAACUUAAAGGAAUUGACGGAAGAGCACAACCAGGAGUGGAUUCUGCGGCUUAAUUUGACUCAACACGGGGAAACUUACCAGGUUAAAACAAUAGUGGGAUUGACAGUUUGAGAGCGCUUUCUUGAUUGGUUGGGUGGUGGUGCAUGGCCGUUCUUAGUUGGUGGAGUGAUUUGUCUGCUUAAUUGCGUUAACGAACGAGACCUUAACCUGCUUACUAGACUGGCGAUCAUCAAUCGUUAGCUCUUCUUAGAGGGACUUUGGUUGUUUUAACUCCAAGGAAGUUUGAGGCAAUAACAGGUCUGUGAUGCCCUUAGAUAUCCUGGGCCGCACGCGUCAUACAAUGACUAGUUCAGAAAGUUUUCUCCUGACCCGAAAGGGGAUGGGUAAUCUUGAUAAUACUAGUCGUGUUAGGGAUCGAUCUUUGCAAUUAUAGAUCUUGAACGAGGAAUUCCUAGUAAGUGCGGUUCAUCAGACCGUACUGAUUACGUCCCUGCUCUUUGUACACACCGCCCGUCGCUUCUACCGAGUGGGUGGUCCGGU
rnacentral:rRNA from 1 species